rnacentral:tRNA from 1 species
UGAGGUGUCGUAUAACGGCUAUUACUUCUGAUUUUGGUUCAGAAAAUGGGAGUUCGAUUCUCUCCACCUCAA